rnacentral:rRNA from 1 species
GACGAACGCUGGCGGCGUGCUUAACACAUGCAAGUCGAACGCUGAAGCCCUGGCUUUUGUUGGGUUGGAUGAGUGGCGAACGGGUGAGUAACACGUGAGUAACCUGCCCUCUUCUUUGGGAUAACGCCCGGAAACGGGUGCUAAUACUGGAUAUUCACUGAUCUUCGCAUGGGGGUUGGUGGAAAGGUUUGUUCUGGUGGGGGAUGGGCUCGCGGCCUAUCAGCUUGUUGGUGGGGUGAUGGCCUACCAAGGCUUUGACGGGUAGCCGGCCUGAGAGGGUGACCGGUCACAUUGGGACUGAGAGACGGCCCAGACUCCUACGGGAGGCAGCAGUGGGGAAUAUUGCACAAUGGGCGAAAGCCUGAUGCAGCGACGCCGCGUGAGGGAUGGAGGCCUUCGGGUUGUAAACCUCUUUCGCUCAUGGUCAAGCCGAAACUGUGGGUUGUGGUGAGGGUAGUGGGUAAAGAAGCGCCGGCUAACUACGUG